GAUGAACGCUGGCGGCGUACCUAAUACAUGCAAGUCGAGCGAACAGACGAGGAGCUUGCUCCUCUGACGUUAGCGGCGGACGGGUGAGUAACACGUGGAUAACCUACCUAUAAGACUGGGAUAACAUCGGGAAACCGGAGCUAAUACCGGAUAAUAUAUUGAACCGCAUGGUUCAAUAGUGAAAGACGGUUUUGCUGUCACUUAUAGAUGGAUCCGCGCCGCAUUAGCUAGUUGGUAAGGUAACGGCUUACCAAGGCAACGAUGCGUAGCCGACCUGAGAGGGUGAUCGGCCACACUGGAACUGAGACACGGUCCAGACUCCUACGGGAGGCAGCAGUAGGGAAUCCUCCGCAAUGGGCGAAAGCUUGACGGAGCAACGCCGCGUGAGUGAUGAAGGUCUUCGGAUCGUAAAACUCUGUUAUUAGGGAAGAACAAAUGUGUAAGUAACUAUGCACGUCUUGACGGUACCUAAUCAGAAAGCCACGGCUAACUACGUG
rnacentral:rRNA from 1 species